rnacentral:misc_RNA from 1 species
GAUGAAGAACGUAGCGAAAUGCGAUAAGUAAUGUGAAUUGCAGAAUUCAGUGAAUCAUCGAAUCUUUGAACGCACAUUGCGCCCGCCAGUAUUCUGGCGGGCAUGCCUGUUCGAGCGUCAUUUCAACCAUCAAGCCCCCGGCUUGUGUUGGGGACCUGCGGCUGCCGCAGGCCCUGAAAAGCAGUGGCGGGCUCGCUGUCACACCGAGCGUAGUAGCAUACAUCUCGCUCUGGGCGUGCUGCGGGUUCCGGCCGUUAAACCACCUUCAUAACCCAAGGUUGACCUCGGAUCAGGUAGGAAGACCCGCUGAACUUAAGCAUAUCAAUAAGCGGA